UACGGAGGGUGCAAGCGUUAUCCGGAUUCACUGGGUUUAAAGGGUGCGUAGGUGGGCAGGUAAGUCAGUGGUGAAAUCUCCGAGCUUAACUCGGAACUGCCGUUGAUACUAUUAUCUUGAAUAUUGUGGAGGUAAGCGGAAUAUGUCAUGUAGCGGUGAAAUGCUUAGAUAUGACAUAGAACACCAAUUGCAAAGGCAGCUUACUACACAACGAUUGACGCUGAGGCACGAAAGCGUGGGGAUCAAACAGG
rnacentral:rRNA from 1 species